AAUGACCUCAGCAGUUGAUCUUUGGGCUUUGAUCACCGAGGAAUAGAGACUUUACAAAUAAAAGCAGGGGAUUGGGAUUCCAUUGCUGUCAUUUUAUAUGUAUAUGGUUACAAUUAUUUACGCUCCCAAUGUGCUUAUGAUGUAGCACCCGGUGGAUCUUUAGCUAGCGUGUAUAGAAUUCCUAUAUGGAAAUUCAUUUGCGGAAGACCUCCAUUCAAACAUGAGAAAAGCUUCUGGGCCCGUCCAAGAUGGGAUGGGAGAAAAAAAGCUAAAAAAUCUGGAUUGUGCAUUGGUCGGGAUCUCCGUAACAAGUAG
rnacentral:rRNA from 1 species